AUUCAGACAUCAUAUGAUACCAUGGAGGCCUUCCUGCAUCCAAGAACAGACGGUCUGGGGAAAAAGUAUUUAUUUAAAUACCCUCCCUUUGUCUUGUUAAUAGAAACUUCUGAAAUAACUUGCAGGCUGCGCUGAACAAGACACCACCCAGUUCACUACCACAAAUAGAGAUUGAAGGCACAGAAUUUCGCAGUGGCAUCCCAUACAUUGCACGUGUUCGCUGCAAAGUUUCUGAAAUUGAGGAUUCAUACCACAGUCAGUGGAGUGACUGGAGCCAGACAACGGUAUUUCAAAGAGAAGGUACAAAGAAUGUUGGUUUUGCCUUAAUUUCAUGGGUUGCUGUUGUUGUUGGGUUGUUUUUGCUUUAAUUCCUGUUUUAGGUUCAUUUGUGCUGAUUGUAUAUUUGGGGAUCUAUCUUAAAAUCCAGGCUUUCUAUUUUUAUUUAUGUAUUUAUUGUUUUUUUUUUUUGUGCUGGUUCUUUUCAUAGGUGUAUCAGAACUGUCUGAAAAACUCUUUGAUACCAAAACAUUGCAGUUCUUGAUCAUUCCUCUGACUUUUGGCACCCUACUCUAUUUAUUUUGGAACUUAAAGCUUUCUUCAAGGGCAAAAGUCCUCUCCUGCCUUAAUAUUCCCACACCAGCUGCUUUCUUUCAGCCACUCUAUAAUUUGCAUCAUGGGAAUUUUAAGGUAAGAUGUUUCAUUUAUUUCUUACAUUCUUCAGUUUAAGGGAGGGUUGGUUUUUUAUAGUUUUUUUUCUAGGACUGAUCUUUCUACCUCCUGAGCAGCGCUACCAACACAUGGCUUCGGUCUUCCUGGGUAGUUCAUGGUUUCUCAGUUUCCUGUCUCCAAAUACUAACUGCACCACCAGAGCUGCUGUCUAGCUUCUGUUUCUGUAGAAAUUUUCUCCAGUAACUCAGUUCCUCAUCCAUCUGCUAUCUGUGCUUUUUCCAUAUCCACAGUAUCUUUCCACGUAUUACCAAUAACUGAUGUUUUCAGUCUCUCCCUUGUUGAGACAGAUAACACUGGUAUCCAAGUGCAGCAUUCAAAGGCUGUUCUGAUUUAUUAAACCAAGUUUCUCUCUCAUAAGGAACCAAGAAUUUUAUCUGUUAGUUUGAAACAGAGAGAUCAAGGAAGCAGCAGUCUUUCCCAAGCAGGCAGCUUCUCCCUUGUAGCAAAUUAACGUUGCUGCCUUCUUCCAGUAGGUUCCCCCUCCCACCUUUCCUAAUGUGUAAGGUAUGUUUGAAUGGUCUUCCUGUUGACCACUGAUGUUCCCUCUGUAUUGAGAGCCUUUCUGAAAACAAGCACUAAAUCUGAAAAGGAAAGAGGAAAAAAAGAAAAGACAGGGCAGAUCUGUUUAGUGAAAGUGGCAAAAGUCAAGAAGCAUCAGUAGUGCAUUUACCAUCUCUCAUCUUCCAUCUUCUGAUACACAUACUGAAUCUGGAAGAUGCAUGCUGUCUUUACAAAGGAAUACAAACAGCCUGUAGCACAUUAUGGAGGUAAGAUCUUGAAAAUUUAAUAUGAAAUCUUCCCUCAGGAAACUUAAAUACUAUUGAUACUCUGUAACUUACAUUUUGCCUAUUAGAUUUGCACUAAACCUCUUGAUUUUUGUACCAAAGCCAUACAGAGAGAACAGUUAGUUUGAAAAUUCCACCUCUGAGCAAAUUGUCCUGAACUUACUGAUCCUUUCACUAGGACUGGGUUGGACCUAACGAGGCUUGUAACCCAC
ensembl:lncRNA